UACGUAGGGGGCGAGCGUUGUCCGGAUUUAUUGGGCGUAAAGAGCGUGUAGGCGGCCAGGUAGGUCUGCUGUGAAAACUCGAGGCUCAACCUCGAGACGUCGGCGGAAACCAUCUGGCUAGAGUCCGGAAGAGGAGAGUGGAAUUCCUGGUGUAGCGGUGAAAUGCGCAGAUAUCAGGAGGAACACCGAUGGCGAAGGCAGCUCGCUGGGACGGUACUGACGCUGAGACGCGAAAGCGUGGGGAGCAAACAGG
rnacentral:rRNA from 1 species